rfam:Phyllobacterium sp. YR531 PMI41_contig_32.32, whole genome shotgun sequence.
CCGCUGGUCCGGGCCCCUCUGGCAAGUUCCCCGGCUAACUUGCGAUGUCGGACCGUUUCC